CUGCUGGAACACGGUGCCAACCCCAAUCUGGCAGACGCUGACGGCAACACUGCCCUUCACCUGGCUGUGCUCUCUAAAAACACAGCUGUAGCAGGGCUGUUACUGGAGCAUCAUGCCAACAGUGAUGCUCAGAACCAGUGGGGAUUUACCCCCUUGAAACUUGCAGCCUUGCAACAGCACGAGGAGAUUCUGGAGUGCCUUGUGAACAAAGCAGCUGACAGGCCUGCUCAAGCCCAGGGGGAAAGGACUGCUCUUGUGGUUCCUGGAAGCCACGAAGCUCACCUGGAGGAAGAUAAUCUGCGCUUGCAGGAGGAGCUGGACAGGGCUGGCGCGGAGCUGCAGGAGGAGGAAGAAAAGCAUCUUCAGUCUGAGCAUUGUGUUCCUGACUUGAAGACUGCCUUGGAUGCCAAGAAAAGAGAGGCAG